UAAUACAGAGGGUGCAAGCGUUAAUCGGAGUUACUGGGCGUAAAGGGCGCGUAGGCGGCCGGAUAAGUGAGAUGUGAAAUCCCCGGGCUUAACCUGGGAACUGCAUCUUAUACUGUUUGGCUGGAGUACUGUAGAGGGCAGUGGAAUUUCCGGUGUAGCGGUGAAAUGCGUAGAGAUCGGAAGGAACACCAGUGGCGAAGGCGGCUGCCUGGACAGAUACUGACGCUGAGGCGCGAGAGCGUGGGGAGCAAACAGGAUUAGAUACCCUGGUAGUCCACGCUGUAAACGAUGAGAACUAGAUGUUGGCAGGCAAGACCUGUUAGUAUCGAAGCUAACGCGAUAAGUUCUCCGCCUGGGGAGUACGGCCGCAAGGUUA
rnacentral:rRNA from 1 species